AACAAGGGCAUACGGUGGAUGCCUAGGCUCAAGGUGGCGAUGAAGGACGUGGCAAGGCUACGAUAAGCGUCGGGGAGGUGCCAAGCAACCUGCGAUCCGGCGAUUUCCGAAUGGGGAAACCCACCCAAUCGAAAGGUUGGGUAUCCAUAGGGUCACGCCUAUGGAGGCAAACCCGGGGAAGUGAAACAUCUCAGUACCCGGAGGAAAAGAGACCAACAAAGUGGUGUCCCUUUCUGUCCCGCCCUUACGGGGCAGAGAGGAGCACCACUGCGGCAUUUCCUUAGUAGCGGCGAGCGAAAGGGAAGGAGCCCAAACCAAGGAAGGCUUCGGCCACCCUUGGGGUUGUAGGAUAGCAAUGUCCCUUCGGGGAGGGGAGUGAGAAAGAAACAGGUAAGCAGAACCACCUGGAAAGGUGAGCCAGAGAGGGUGAUAGCCCCGUACGCGAAUACCUGUUUCCUCCCUUGUUGCUACUCCUGAGUAGGUCGGGACACGACGAGCCUGACUGAAGCAGGGUGAACUCACACCCAAGGCUAAAUACACCUUGAGACCGAUAGUGAACCAGUACCGUGAGGGAAAGGUGAAAAGCACCCCGGGAGGGGGGUGAAAGAGACCUGAAACCGUAUGCCUACAAGUGGUCGGAGCUCGCUCUUUCGAGAGCGGGUGACGGCGUGCCUAUUGAAGAAUGAGCCGGCGAGUUUAUGGAUGUCCCUCGUCUAAGGGGUGAACCCCCGGAGGCAGAGCGAAAGCGAGUCCGAAAUGGGCGUCGCCGCCUUUGGCGGCAAGGGGUAUCCAUAAGACCCGAAACCGGGUGAGCUUGCCAUGGGCAGGGUGAGUCCCACCGAAAGGUGGGAGGAGGCCCGAACCGGUGGAUUGUGCAACAUCCUCGGAUGACCUGUGGUAAGGAGUGAAAAGCUAAUCGAACUCGGUAAUAGCUGGUUCUCUCCGAAACAGCUUUAGGGCUGGCCUCGCGUGUUUCCUUCUGGAGGUAGAGCACUGGAAGGAGUGAAUAGGGGGAAACCUCGUCACUCCUAUCAAACUCCGAAUGCCGGAAGGUUAAGAGCGCGGGAGUUAGGCCAUGGGGGCUAAGCUCCAUUGGCCAAGAGGGGAACAACCCAGACCGCCAGAUAAGGUCCCUAAGUCUAUGCUCAGUGCAAUACAAGGAGGUGGGGGAUCAGAGACAACCAGGAUGUUGGCUUAGAAGCAGCCAUCAUUGAAAGAAAGCGUAACAGCUCACUGGUCGAGAACCCCUGCGCCGAAGAUUCACAGGGGCUAAGCAUAGCACCGAAUCUGCGGAUCGCGCGCCCAGUGCGGGCGCGUGGUGGUAGGAGAGCGUUCCCAUCGCGUUGAAGGAGAAGGGCGACCGACUCUGGAGCGUUGGGAAGUGAGAAUGCCGGCGCGAGUAACCGCAACCCGGGUGAAACCCCCGGGGGCCGAAAUCCCAAGGUUUCCUUCGCCAUGGUGAUCAGCGAAGGGUUAGGCGGGCCUUAGCCGAUCCCGAAAGGGGGAGGUGAUGGACAGACGGUUAAUAUUCCGUCCCCUGGGUGUGGUGCGAUGGGGUGACGGGGGAAAUGAGCCAAGGCGCCUUAUCGGAUUGGCGUCGCUUGCGCGAGCGUGGGCACUUAGGCAAAUCCGGGUGCCACACACACGCGUGCGCCGGCGCAACGCGCCUUCGGGCGCGGAGCUUGGCGAAGAGCCCUCCAGGAAAAACCUCUCAGCUUCAACCACAUUCAGCCCGUACCGCAAACCGACACAGGUGGGAUGGUCGAGAAGACCAAGGCCAACAAGUGAUCGCUCCCCAAGGAACUCGGCAAACAAGCGGCCGUAACUUCGGGAUAUGGCCUCCCCGCUUUUGGGGCGACCCAAAGGUGGGGCGCAGCGAAAGAGUGCCUGGCGACUGUUUAUCAAAAACACAGCUCCCUGCGAACUCGUAAGAGGAGGUAUAGGGGGUGACGCCUGACCAAUGCCGGAAGGUUAAGUACUGCCUGUCCGUCCGCCUUCGGUGGACGGGCCGCGCGGUAUAAGCCCCGGUGAAUGUCGGUCCUAACUAUAGAAUCCCUGUAGUUGUAAAAUCUGGCUAUAUGCGGGGAACCCUGCGUAUCCGCCGCUACUCGCGCCGCCUCAUCCCCGGCGCAGUAACAACGCGAGCGGUGAUGCAGGCAAUCCGCAGGAAAGAUUCUGCAAAGAACGAGCGGCUUCGCGCCGCAACGGCGAGGUGGUUGACGAACCGCUUAUGCCGCGACGAAGACACAACGAUUGGCUCCAUCGUGUUCCUCUCGCCACGGGCUCGUAUCUUGCGGGCUUUGUGGAUGGGGAAGGGGGCUUUAUCGUCACCGUAAAACGCCGGCCUGACCACACGCUCGGCUGGCAGGUUGUGCCGGUGUUUGCUGUUGCGCAACGAGACAAGACGGUUCUCGCGCACAUCAAACGCUGGUUGGGAUGCGGAUCCAUCCGCCGUCGUCGCGACGGCGUGUGGGUUUACAGCGUCUCGAAUCCCACGAUGAUCGCACAAAGGGUUAUUCCGUUUUUCGAGCGUUUUCCCAUUCGUUCCCCUUCAAAACUGCGCAACUUUCAAGUGUUCGCGCGCAUUGUGAGGCGCCUCACGACAGCGCCGCCGCGAACGCCGAAAGAACUGCAAGAAAUUGUUGCCUUGCGUGAGAAAUUGAAUGAAGGGAGAGGGAGGAAACGCGCUUACACGCUGGAUGACCUUGCCGCGUUUUUUGCAGAAAAUCCUCAGAGACUCUACGCCAGAGCGGCUCCGCGCAGACAUUGUCUGCGGGGAGACGCAUGAUAGAGUCCGAUCUCCACAGCGAUGUGGAGGAUCCCGAUUGCUCGCGCGCGCGGCUACCAGCGGCGCGGGAAGGAGGGUGAUAACGAGAUGAAGGAUCCUAAGGUAGCGCAAUUCCUUGUCGGGUAAAUUCCGACGCGCACGAAUGGCGUAACGACUGGGCAACUGUCUCGGGGAGUCGCUUGGUGAAAACACAGUACCUGUGAAGAUGCAGGUUACCCACAGCAGGACAGAAAGACCCUAUGGAGCUUUACUGCAGCUUCGUAUUGGGGUUGUUGAACUGGUGCGCAGCAUAGGUGGGAGGCUUUGAAGCCGGGUCUCCGGGUCCGGUGGAGCCGCCAGUGAGAUACCACCCAUCAGUUUGGCAACUUCUAACCUUGGUGGCGACACCACUGAGGGACAGUGCGUGGCAGGCAGUUUUAGUGGGGCGCUACCCUCCUAAAAUGUAACGGAGGGGUCUCAAGGUCGGCUAGGCGCGGAUGGAAACCGUGCCGAUAGUGUAAGGGCACAAGCCGGCUUUACUGCGAGGCGUAGAUGCCGAGCAGUCGCGAAAGCGGAGCCUAGUGAGCCGCCGGUUGGCUUGAGAGGCCGCCGACGAUCACCCGAUAAAAGUUACCCUAGGGAUAACAGGCUGAGUGCCGCCCAAGCGUCCACAGCGACGGCGGCGUUCGGCACCUCGAUGUCGGCUCGUCUCAUCCUGGGGCUGUAGUCGGUCCCAAGGGUAUGGCUGUUCGCCAUUUAAAGUGGUACGCGAGCUGGGUUCAGAACGUCGUGAGACAGUUCGGUCCCUAUCUGUCGUGGGCGUUGGAGAUUUGAGAGGGGCUGCUCCUAGUACGAGAGGACCGGAGUGGACGAACCUCUGGUGUUCCGGUUGUCACGCCAGUGGCACUGCCGGGUAGCUAUGUUCGGAAGCGAUAACCGCUGAAAGCAUCUAAGCGGGAAGCGCGCCUCAAGAUGAGGUUUCACUUGAGGCCCGUGGGAGAUGACCACGUUGAUAGGCACCAGGUGCAAGCGCCGCGAGGCGUUCAGCCGAGGUGUACUAAUGCGCCGAGAGU
rnacentral:rRNA from 1 species